rnacentral:rRNA from 1 species
UACAGAGGGUGCGAGCGUUAAUCGGAGUGACUGGGCGUAAAGGGCGCGUAGGCGGUUAGAUUAGUCUGAUGUGAAAGACCUGGGCUUAACCUGGGAUGUGCAUUGGAAACGGUCUAGCUAGAGUUUGGGAGAGGGAAGUGGAAUUUCCGGUGUAGCGGUGAAAUGCGUAGAGAUCGGAAAGAACACUCGUGGCGAAGGCGACUUUCUGGCCUAAAACUGACGCUGAGGCGCGAAGGCGUGGGGAGCAAACAGG